UGGUGGCUGUUGGUAGUAUUUUAGUUCAUGUUAUUGGUGGUGUGUUUGGUUUUGUUAAUUUUUUUUUAAGAUUGUUAAAAAUUGCAGAUAAUAAUGAGUUAGUGCAAUGAGUCAAUGACGGUGUAUAUAUAUAGGUUGUCAAACAGGCAAAAAGUAGUGUAUUUGUUUUGUUAAUCUGGAUAAUUUUAUGUUGUUGUCACAAAUGUUAAUUGUUUUUUGAAAUGUAUUUUUUGUAAUGUUGUUUCAGUAUUUUUUUUAAACAACACACAUAGUAAUUAUCUGAGUAGAAUGUGCUUAAUGGGAAUAUAAUUGCAAAGAGAAAUUUAAUCAAAGUGAUUUCAAUACAAAACCACAUGCUGUUACGUGUUCUUUAUGAUGUCAAUGAACAGAAGGCACAAGACAGCAUAUGAAACAUUACGUCUACUGGCAGUUAUGGUGUGCGCCAAGUUGUCAGUCUGCGCUUGCUUGCAAACAGGAAAUGUAAUGUUUCAACAACUUAAAUGAAACGAAACUGCACCAUUUCCUAUCUAUACAAGCACCAGCAGCAGAUGGAGAAUCCCAGUCAAAGUCCAAAUCAUCGAGAGUAGAACCGAGCUCACUCGCAAAGCCAUCAAGAAC